rnacentral:rRNA from 1 species
UACGAGGGGGGCGAGCGUUGUUCGGAAUUAUUGGGCGUAAAGGGUGCGUAGGCGGUUUGGUAAGUCUGAUGUGAAAUCUAUGGGCUCAACUCAUAGUCUGCAUCGGAAACUGCCGGGCUUGAGUGUGGGAGAGGUGAGUGGAAUUCCUGGUGUAGCGGUGAAAUGCGUAGAUAUCAGGAGGAACACCUGUGGCGAAAGCGGCUCACUGGACCAUAACUGACGCUGAUGCACGAAUGCUAGGGGAGCAAACAGG